rnacentral:rRNA from 1 species
UACAGAGGGGCAAGCGUUGUUCGGAAUUACUGGGCGUAAAGGGCGCGUAGGCGCCCGAUCAGUCAGAUGUGAAGCCCGGGCUCAACCUGGGAACUGCAUUUGAUACUGUCGGGCUUGAGUUCCGGAGAGGAUGGUGGAAUUCCCAGUGUAGAGGUGAAAUUCGUAGAUAGUUGGGAAGAACACCGGUGGCGAAGGCGGCCAUCUGGACGGACACUGACGCUGAGGCGCGAAAGCGG